rnacentral:rRNA from 1 species
AGUCAAUAGAUACCCAGGUAGUCCACGCCGUAAACGAUGAGUACUAGGUGUAGGAGGUAUCGACUCCUUCUGUGCCGCAAGUUAACACAAUAAGUACUCCGCCUGGGAAGUACGGUCGCAAGAUUAAAAACUCAAAGGAAUUGACGGGGGCCCGCACAAGCAGCGGAGCAUGUGGUUUAAUUCGAAGCAACGCGAAGAACCUUACCUAGACUUGACAUCUCCUGAAUAGUGUAGAGAUACAUGAAGCCCUUCGGGGCAGGAAGACAGGUGGUGCAUGGUUGUCGUCAGCUCGUGUCGUGAGAUGUU